CCAGAAUCCACUCUGGCUGGAAUCCGGUGGAUACAGCAGUGUUUACAGAACAGUUCUCCACAGUCGCUGUCCACAUGGGUCAGUGGGACCAAGAAGCACUCUGCUAAUGUGUGGACUCUGACCAGCAACACCCAGCAAGACCCAGGCAGCGUUUUCUAUCUCCCAGCUGGAGUUUUUUUUGUUUGUCUGUGACUGGAGAGUCAGAUUUUUGUUGAGGCUGGAGGAACAGCCUCACACUUGCAGAGGUUAAUACACGCCACUGAUCCCUGAUGGGAGAAUCAUCACCUUUGCCAACAAAGAAGCCUGGUGGAUAUUUGUUUGCAGUCUGAUGAUGGGACAUCAUGCUCUGCAUCUUCAAAGUUUGUCUCUUGAUUAUUAUUCAUACACAGUAAUGUGAAGUAUGCUUAUAUCUAGUAUAACUGGACCAACCUGGUGCUCUUCAUUUAUGGAGGCUGUUGAGUCUGAAUGUUGGAUGUUGUGUAUCUCAUGUUCUCUGGGCUUUGUUGUCCUCAGUCUUUUUGCAGGAUCAGAAAACAAAACCAGGAGGCCUGUAAAUGUUUCUUCUCCAAUUGGAUGAUGAUAAGACUGUGACAUGGGAUGCCACCUUUAGUCUUGUGAUGAAGCAAAGCUCAGGAAGAAGUGCGAUUAAAUGGUACCCACAUGUGUGCUGCUGAGGAGGAUGUACAGGGGCACCUGCAGCCAAAUCCAAGCCUCCUCAGCAACUUCAAGUCUGUCAGCGUGCUGAGGUCACAGAAACAAGAAAAGCAGCUUGACACUUCAGAGUGUUGUUUACAGUUUUCUGUCAUCAUGAUCUCCCCUGAAGUUUAUCACUAUUAUACAAGCA